rnacentral:lncRNA from 1 species
ACUACAGAAGGAUAACUUCUUUGCAGUUCAUUUAAUCGCAAAUUAAAAUUCAUGAUUUAACGCAUUGAAUGACAAAUAUGUUAUCACAUUUUAUACAUGUUCAUAUUUGAAGGACAUAAAAGAUAAUACAACUAUUAUAUUGUCCAGGAGGAUAUGAUUUAUACUCCAUGCAUUAAGCUCUUCGUUUCCUUCCCACACUCCCUUGAACAAUAAAUUAUUUUACGGUAUAUACAAUUUCACUGGAAUAUACAUACAUACAUACAUACAUACAUACACGCACGCACGCACAUAUACGAACACACAUAAAGAUGAAAUAUGUAACUCUGAUUGUUUUUAUAUGUUUUGUUACAUUAUGGAAAAAGAGUUAUACACAGGAUGAUAUAGAUUAUUCAAAUAUAAAUUGGGAGUAUGAUUUGUAUAGUAUAAGUGAUUUGCAUGGAGAUAUGAAUGCUUUGUUCAAAAUUUUAAAAAAUGAAAAGAUAAUUGACAAUAAUAAUAAUAUACUUAAAAAAAAUACGUUAAUUAUUAUAACAGGUGACAUUUUAGAUCCUAACUAUGAUGAUAUAAAUAUUUUAUUUUUUAUAGAAGAAUAUAAUGCUAAAGGGAAAAACAUGAACAGUAAAAUAAUUACGUUAUUAGGUAAUCAUGAAGUAAGCAAUAUGUGUUUAAAAUUUAAAAAUAGAAAAGGAGAUCAAAAGAAAUAUAAUAAUAGAAAUGAUAUGUUUAAAAAAAAUAAAUCUAUUUAUAACAUUUUGAUCAAUUAUCCUAUUGUCAUAAAAAUAAAUAAUAUUAUAUUUUCACAUGCAGGUGUCUUACCUUUUUAUGCUUAUUAUGGUAUAAAUUUCAUAAAUACAGAAGGUAAAAAAGAAGUAGAAAAUAACUGUAAAUUACUUAAUGAGAAAACAACAAAUUUACAAGAGUUAUGUAUCUGUUGUGAUUAUGGACCUACAUUAAACAGGUACUAUGCAUCAGUUAGUCAUAAUAUGUUUAAAAGAAAUAUGGUAUGUUCUACUUUAUAUAAAGUACUACGAUUAUUAAAAGCAAAUAAAAUGGUGAUUGGACAUACUGUACAAAUUAAUUAUAAAGUUAAUUCUUUUUGUGAUAAUAAAUUACUACUAACAGAUACUGGUAUAAGUCAAUCGAAAAACGGGAUAAUAUCUUAUGUGAAAUAUUUUUCUAAUGACACAUAUAAAGUAUUUUAUAUUGAUAGAUGAUAACAUUGGAUAUUUUGAAAUAUAAUAAAGUUUUUUUAUUGGGGGGGGGGUGGGGGUUA